rnacentral:lncRNA from 1 species
ACUUGGUAGAGUGAGUGCUCAAAGUCAGACUUACUUGCAGAGAAAAACCAACAGUUUAUUCUAAGUAUAUCUUACUAUGUCUAUAAUUGUAUCUGUGCUUGGCUUCUUCUAUAAUAUGUAAAGAAAGAUUCCUCUAGAGGAUGUUUCAGCAUGCUAAGUUAAAGACAUCUUCGUUUAGAAGGACGCUGUCACUCUCAAUGACUAAGAAAGUUGUGGAGAUUUUUCUUUUUCUACUUCACUUCCUGCCAAAGUGUAUAUAACAGAUAUAUAUCAGAAUAUACCAAGAAUUCAGCAGCCACGGCAUGACAGGGCACCUGUGUUAUGCCAGCGAGAAGGCUCAAGCAGAACAUAUCCCCUCUAUCCAUCUAAAGCAACAGCUACAAUUUUCUAGUUUCCAGUUUCCUGUGUGAAUUCCUCCUGGAGCAUAUAUCAAUGCUACUUUAACUUCAGGAUUAAUUCAAUGCUACUACUAAACCUUAUUUACUCAUCAUCUUUGACGUCACAUCCCAGGCAUUUUACCAGCAUCUCCUUUGGCAUCUGGAACAUAUUUCCAU